CCUACGGGGGGCAGCAGUGGGGAAUAUUGGACAAUGGGGGCAACCCUGAUCCAGCCAUGCCGCGUGUGUGAAGAAGGCCCUCGGGUUGUAAAGCACUUUCAGUGAGGAAGAACGCCUGGUGGUUAAUACCCAUCAGGAAAGACAUCACUCACAGAAGAAGCACCGGCUAACUCCGUGCCAGCAGCCGCGGUAAUACGGAGGAUGCGAGCGUUAAUCGGAAUUACUGGGCGUAAAGCGCGCGUAGGUGGCUUGAUAAGCCGGUUGUGAAAGCCCCGGGCUCAACCUGGGAACGGCAUCCGGAACUGUCAAGCUAGAGUGCAGGAGAGGAAGGUAGAAUUCCCGGUGUAGCGGUGAAAUGCGUAGAGAUCGGGAGGAAUACCAGUGGCGAAGGCGGCCUUCUGGACUGACACUGACACUGAGGUGCGAAAUCGUGGGUAGCAAACAGGAUUAGAUACCCCGGUAGUC
rnacentral:rRNA from 1 species